CCAGUAAUGCCAGAGUCUCAGCCGAAGACGUUUGCCGAUGCUCACAGGUAUCGAUGGAAUUGCUCUGUAAGAUGAAUGGACGACUGGAGCCUCCCUACAGAUCUGUGUCCAGUUCAAGUUGGCAAAUUCAGUUCUUCGGUGAAGUCAUGUGGAAUGUAACAAUGCUUCUAAGGACUGAGUGAACUGAUAGAACUGCAGUGAAAACCACACUGGCUGACGUGGAAGAAAAGAUGUGUUUUAAUUAGAAAAUAGGGGCCACUAGUGGUAUUCAUACAUGGGUAUGUUGUUCCACCCCGUGUGAAAGAAGCGGGAAAACAGUUUUUGGUCAGCUGAUGUUAAUCAGCCCCCUUGUUACAACAUAAGGGUGAAGAUGUGGAGAUAAAAACCGCAGGGAUUCAUGGAGGUUUGGAUUCCCAGAUCAUCAUCAAAAACAACCUGGGAACAAGAAAACAGAAUCAACUUCCGAGGCUCAGCUGAGUCGUCCAGUUCAGUGCCAAAGUGAUCGUGCGGGGGUCAACGCCGUUAUCGUGUACGAUGACCAGACAUAUCGGAUGUUCCCUAUCCCACCGGCUGGUGUGGUUGAAGCAGCAGCGCCCAGGAGGAGUCGUGAUGCUCUCUGGGUGCUGAUGGCUGCCUUUGGUGCGAUGCUGCUGCUGCUUUUGGUCCUGAAGUUCUUUAUGUGUUCUUAGUAUAUUCAAGCUCUCUGAACGCACUAAUUUCAACUAUUUCAACAAUUUGGUCAUUUUAAAUUUCAAUCAAGUAGGAAUUUCAACUCUCAAUUCCUAAUGUAUGUAUUUAUGACUUAGUUGUUGUACUUGGUGUGUUCUCUGCAUCAGUUUACCCAAGUCUCUGUAAUCCUGAACACUUGUUUUAAUGUUGGUGCCUUAUCACAAUAAAAACGUGAUGAGCAGUGA